rnacentral:rRNA from 1 species
CCUACGGGGGGCAUCAGUGGGGAAUAUUGGGCAAUGGGCGCAAGCCUGACCCAGCAACGCCGCGUGAAGGAAGAAGGCCCUCGGGUUGUAAACUUCUUUUAUCAGGGACGAAGAAGUGACGGUACCUGAUGUAUAAGCCACGGCUAACUACGUGCCAGCAGCCGCGGUAAUACGUAGGUGGCAAGCGUUAUCCGGAGUUACUGGGUGUAACGGGAGUGUAGGCGGGGAAGCAAGGCAGAUGUGAAAUUCCAGGGCUCAACCCUGGAACUGCAUUUGAAACUGUUUUUCUUGAGUGAUGGAGAGGCAGGCGGAAUUCCGUGUGUAGCGGUGAAAUGCGUAGAUAUACGGAGGAACACCAGUGGCGAAGGCGGCCUGCUGGACAUUAACUGACGCUGAGGCGCGAAAGCGUGGGGAGCAAACAGGAUUAGAUACCCGUGUAGUC